AUGUUCGUUUCAGCAGCAUAUAUACUGAAAUUGAAACAUUACAGAGAAGAUUACAUGGCCCUGUGCAAGGAUGACAUGCAAAUUUGUGAAGUGUUCCAUAUUUCU
ensembl:snRNA U6 U6 spliceosomal RNA